UUUGGUUGCUAUGUUUGACACAAGUUAUAACAAAAAAAAAAGGAUAUCUAAACUCUACUAUUGAUCAUGUGAUUCUAUUUUUUUUUCCUGUAUCUUAGAUAUGAGAAUUGUUAAUUGAGUUGUGAUGAGUAGACUUUAUUUAAUUGGGGUUUCUCAUUGGCAUGGGCUGUUGAAAUUUUCUAUGAUGAAAUUAUAUAAAUGAUACAUGAAAAGGGUUUUGAGUGUUACAUUUUUAUUAUUAUGUUUUGCUUAAACUGGCUAGUUGAGUCUAUGUAUAGGGAAUGAUACCAAGGUAAGGACUGAGGUUUAUAUAUAAUAUACAUGUUCUAUUUUGCUUGAAAAUUUAAUAAAGCCAAAUAUGUCAUGUGACUUGUGCUUUUUAUUUUUUCAAGCCGUUUUUUAGAAUGAUAAAACUAGUGUAGUACUAUUAUAGAGUGGGAAACAACAUAUAUGACUGGGCCGUAGUUGAGACGGGAAAAGGGUCAUGAAUUAUCCUCUUGCAUUUUUUAGAUUUUUGUUUGUAUGUUGAUUAAUGAGUUGCUCUGUUUCGAAUGGGAUCAUAAACACAGCUACACACAAAUAUAAUUAUUAUAUAUAUCUAAAAAUAUGUAUUUUUUCAUUUUGAGAGUAAUGAUUUGCUCUGUUUCUCGUUCUUGUGAAAUGGGUUUCAGUGGUUUUAUAUAUUAUUGCAGCAUCUCAUCAUUGAUGUUAGUUUUCCUUUAAUUACCCUUCAUAAUUUAUGAAAAACUAUAUUUGAAUGAACAAUGUUUUCUUAUUCAUUGUCUAAAAUGUGCGAAUUGGUUGGCACCAUUUUGUGUGCCUUCUUGCCAUCUCUUAUUGUCCUAUUAUUUGGUGAGUCUCUUAGUCUAAGGUAGCUUACUACGUAUGCUAUUUUGCUCAUGUAGCUUUCUUUGAAUUCUUCAGUUAACUAUCUGCGAUUUGCUUAACUAUCUGCUAUGUUUCUUUUAAUGCAAUUAGGCACAUCUUUCACAGGUUUGCAACUGGAGUGGACACAUAAAGCUUAUUCAGAUGGAAAUUAUGAAUGAAUAUAGUGGUUGAAAAUAGAGAAAUGAAAAAAUUCCCAUAUUCUACAUGAGACGUCGGUCUCCACAAAAUUGUCGUCUUAUGUAUUGCAGGGGACGAUGCUUGCACAUAAAUUGUCAUCUCAUGUACUGCAAGAGGAUGACGCUUGAGUAGGAACUGUUGUCUCAUUUACUGUAGUGGAUGAUGCUUGCACAUAAAUUGUCGUCUCAUGUCCCACAAGAGACAACGUUUGUAUAGGAACCAUGGUCUCAUGUACGACAUGAGAUGACACUUUUAUUUAAACUGUCGUUUCAUACUUUACAUGGCAUGACAUUGCAUGGGACGACAGUAUUAGAACCGACGUAUGAGAGUCCAUACAACAGUUUAAAACCAUCAUCCCAUGUCAAAUUUGUAGUAGUGAUGGUUUAGAGGCAUGUGAACAAGUUUUUCCAGAUUUGUCAGGUGAUGGCUCGUGUAUUACUUAUGUACUUGAGAAUCUUGGCAGUGGUUCUGGGAGAGGGAGUGGGACCGAUAAGAACAAUUGAAAUCUCAAGGAGCAUGUGGUCAUGGUUGCUUGAUGCAGGCCAUGAAAUGAAUGCUGGAUUUUGGAUUGGAGUUUGUUUUCUAUCUAUUCUUUUGAGCUUGAUUAGUGUUAUUGUAGUCGAUUAGACUUAGAUUUAAUUUGUGUUAUAAUGGACUAUGGACUUUGGACUAUAAGUUUAAACUUUAAUCAUGUGUUGAGAUUUAUAGUUGUAGGCUUUUGGUUUUAAAUUUUAAUUGUGUUGUGUAUUGGAUUGGACAAAUAGACAUUGGAGUAUUGGACUUUUGAUGUGCUGUGAUUUGAGGUUA